AAAAUUCACUCUCCUGUGAUUUUUUCCCGACAUUAUUUCCAUCUCUCUCUCUUGAUCUCUCUGGACACCUUUGCGACAAAAAUGAGGAGAUUCGAAAUCUGUUCGAUUCCGGUGGAGAUAUCGGUGAAUUUUCUCCAUCGGUUUUGGUUGAUCUUGUGAUCUCGAGAGGAAGAAGUCUCUGAACCGCCUUGUCGUCGAUGAGGCUUCAACGAUGAUAACUCCGUCGUAUCUCUUCACCCUGCAACCAUGGAGAAGCUUCAGCUCUUCCGUGAUGAUACCAUUCUCUUCAAGGUUUGGUUUGCUUUUCUUCGUUUGGAUUCUCUUUUGAUUGAGAUAUUGAAUGGUUGGUUAAAUUAUGAUUUUGUAUGCCAUGUUCUUUCAUCCACUGGAGCUAUUGUCUAGAUUACUUGAAAAGCUUUUACUUGAUUUAACACUAAUUCCGUCCAAGGGGAGCUUGAAUCUGUCAGGAUUGAAUAUGCAAACGCGCAGCUAGAAUAUAAUGCUGCUGAUGAGCGUUCCCAAAUACUGGCUUCUGAAGUCAUUAGUUUGGAAGAUACGGAAGACAUGGGAUGGCUUAAGAAAACAGUGGACGAUUAGCAUAUACUAGAGGUAACAAUUCUUUCUUAAGGAAGAUUAGCAUAUUUCUAUGAAUUUUUUUAAUGAUUUAGCAUAUCAUCUGAUUUCUGUUGGACAUAAGCAAUAGGAAUUUGAAAUUGGACAGAAGCAAUAGGAGUUUGAAAUUGGACAGAAGCUUUGUAUGAGUUUGGUUUUAUGAUUGCUUGUUUAAGAAGAUAGUGUUUUGCAACAAUUUGAAUUUUGUUUUCUUAAGAUACUUUCUAUUCUUAACCAUUGGAGGGCAUAUAUGUUAAGAUACUAUCUUCUUUUCUUAACUUACAAAUAAGCAAAAAUUUAUUUUAAAAUAUUGCUGAGAUACAAAGUUAAGAACCAAAUGGUUCUUAACCAUUGGAGAUGCUCUUAAUCACUAUUUGUUUCAAACAGUAGAAUACUAGAAUGGUUGGAAACUUCAAAUUGAUGAAAAAGAAGUUUAAUGAACUGGUUGCUCUGUUCCGGAUAGGAAGAUUUGGAGAUUUUGGUGAUUUAUUUCUGUCCAUUGAGGGUUGUUGUUGCCAUGCUAGGAGAAGGAGGAUAUGGUAGAUAUGAUAGUUUUCCCAAACAUCUACAUCAUAUCCCCGUUCUAUUAAAAAAGACACAUUCUAUUAUUUUUUGUAACCAUCAGUAGUUUAGGAUCGUUGGACAACUUGUAAGAAUAUAAUUCUCCAAUACAAAUAUAAUUGAGACAAA